UGCCUCAUAGCUCAAUGGCAGAGCGACGCGCUGUUAACGCGGGGGUUGUAGGUUCAAGUCCUACUGAGGCAGCCA
rnacentral:tRNA from 2 species